GACGUAGGGCGCAAGCGUUGUCCGGAUUUAUUGGGCGUAAAAGAGCUCGUAGGCGGUUUGUCGCGUCGGCCGUGAAAUCUCCACGCUUAACGUGGAGCGUGCGGUCGAUACGGGCAGACUUGAGUUCGGUAGGGGAGACUGGAAUUCCUGGUGUAGCGGUGAAAUGCGCAGAUAUCAGGAGGAACACCGGUGGCGAAGGCGCCACUCUGGGCCGAAACUGACGCUGAGGAGCGAAAGCGUGGGUAGCAAACAGG
rnacentral:rRNA from 1 species